rnacentral:tRNA from 1 species
GGGAACAUGGCCGAGCAGUCUAAGGUGCUGGAUUAAUUAUCCAGUCUUUUCAGAGGUGUGGUUUUGAAUCCCACUGCUGCCA